rnacentral:rRNA from 1 species
GGAUCAGGUAGGAAUACCCGCUGAACUUAAGCAUAUCACGACGGGGGG